rnacentral:rRNA from 1 species
UCCCAGACUCCUACGGGAGGCAGCAGUGGGGGAUAUUGCACAAUGGGGGAAACCCUGAUGCAGCGACGCCGCGUGAGUGAAGAAGUAUUUCGGUACGUAAAGCUCUAUCAGCAGGGAAGAAAAACCGGCCUUAGGGCCGCCAGACGGUACCUGACUAAGAAGCCCCGGCUAACUACGUGCCAGCAGCCGCGGUAAUACGUAGGGGGCAAGCGUUAUCCGGAUUUACUGGGUGUAAAGGGAGCGUAGACGGCGAUGCAAGUCUGAAGUGAAAGGCGGGGGCCCAACCCCCGGACUGCUUUGGAAACUGUAUAGCUGGAGUGCAGGAGAGGUAAGUGGAAUUCCUAGUGUAGCGGUGAAAUGCGUAGAUAUUAGGAGGAACACCAGUGGCGAAGGCGGCUUACUGGACUGUAACUGACGUUGAGGCUCGAAAGCGUGGGGAGCAAACAGGAUUAGAUACCCGAGUAA